ACAGUGGACGCGAGCAUCUGUGGCCAAGUUUUUAAGGGCGCACGGUGGAUGCCUUGGCACCAGGAACCGAUGAAGGACGUG
rnacentral:rRNA from 1 species